rnacentral:rRNA from 1 species
AAUCAACGCUGGCGGCGUGCCUCAGACAUGCAAGUCGAACGAUUAAGACUCCCUUCGGGGAGUGCAUAAAGUGGCGCACGGGUGAGUAACACGUAAGUAAUCUACCCUCGAGUGGGGAAUAACAACCGGAAACGGUUGCUAAUACCGCAUAAUGCAGCGGCACCGGAAGGUGACAGGUGUUAAAGGAGCAAUCCGCUUGAGGAGGAGCUUGCGGCAGAUUAGCUAGUUGGUAAGGUAACGGCUUACCAAGGCUACGAUCUGUAUCCGGCCUGAGAGGGCGGCCGGACACACUGACACUGAAUAACGGGUCAGACUCCUACGGGAGGCAGCAGUCGGGAAUUUUGGGCAAUGGGCGAAAGCCUGACCCAGCAACGCCGCGUGAAGGAUGAAGUAUUUCGGUAUGUAGACUUCGAAAGAAUAGGAAGAAUAAAUGACGGUACUAUUUAUAAGCUCCGGCUAACUACGUGCCAGCAGCCGCAGUAAAAC